rnacentral:rRNA from 1 species
UGGGGAAUAUUGGACAAUGGGCGAAAGCCUGAUCCAGCCAUGCCGCGUGUGUGAAGAAGGUCUUCGGAUUGUAAAGCACUUUAAGUUGGGAGGAAGGGCAUUAACCUAAUACGUUAGUGUUUUGACGUUACCGACAGAAUAAGCACCGGCUAACUCUGUGCCAGCAGCCGCGGUAAUACAGAGGGUGCAAGCGUUAAUCGGAAUUACUGGGCGUAAAGCGCGCGUAGGUGGUUUUUUAAGUUGGAUGUGAAAGCCCCGGGCUCAACCUGGGAACUGCAUCCAAAACUGGCAAGCUAGAGUACGGUAGAGGGUGGUGGAAUUUCCUGUGUAGCGGUGAAAUGCGUAGAUAUAGGAAGGAACACCAGUGGCGAAGGCGACCACCUGGACUGAUACUGACACUGAGGUGCGAAAGCGUGGGGAGCAAACA